GACGAACGCUGGCGGCGUGCUUAACACAUGCAAGUCGAACGAAGUGGCGAACGGGUGAGUAACGCGUAAUCAACCUGCCCUUCAGAGGGGGAUAACAGUUGGAAACGACUGCUAAUACCGCAUACUGAAGGAGGGGAUUGCGUCUGCUUAGCUAGUUGGAGGGGUAACGGCCCACAAAGGCGAUGAUCAGUAGCGGGUAUGAGAGGGUGAACGGCAAAAUUGGGACUGAGACAAGGCCCAGACUCCUACGGGAGGAAGCAGUGGGUAAUCUUCCUGAAUGGACGAAAGUCGGACGGAGAAACGCCGCGUGAGUGAGGACGGCCUUAGGGGUUUAAAGCUCUGUUAAGCGGGACGCGGUACCGGAAUAGAAAGCCACGGCUAACUACGUGCCAGCAGCCGCGGUAAUAC
rnacentral:rRNA from 1 species